rnacentral:rRNA from 1 species
AUGCAGAUCUUCGUGAAGACCUUCACCGGAAAGACCAUCACCCUCAAGGUUGAGUCUUCUGACACAAUUGACAAUGUGAAGGCCAAAAUCCAGGAUAAGGAGGGCAUUCCACCGGACCAGCAGCGCCUGAUCUUUGCAGGCGAACAGCUUGAGGAUGGACGCACCCUUGCUGAUUACAAUAUCCAGAAGGAAUCCACCUUGCACCUGGUGCUUCGCCUACUUGGUGGCAUUCAGAUUUUCAUCAAGACCCUUACUGGCAAGACCAUCACCCUAGAGGUUGAAUCAUCGGACACCAUUGACAAUGUGAAGGCGAAGAUUCAGGACAAGGAGGGUAUCCCCCCGGACCAUCAACGCCUGAUCUUCGCUGGUAAGCAGCUUGAGGAUGGUCGCACUCUGGCUGAUUACAACAUUCAGAAGGAGUCUACUCUCCACCUGGUGCUCCGCCUUCGUGGUGGCCAAACCUGCUGA